AGUUGGCUGCGCUCCACCAGUAAGGGUUCUCGAGCCCCCGGGCAGCCUGCGGGGGGCAGCGAGGCGCAAAGACCAUGCCCCAAGUGCCGAGGGAAAGUCCUGAGAUGCGCGACUUGGGACGCUAGGGGCCAAGCUCCGACGCGGGGCUGGGUGCACCUGGACGCACCUCACACGCCGCGAGCUAAGCAGAAAAGGGAGGCAGGCUGCCCCGACACCCCACUACUCACCGCUAGGUUUCCGUCUGGCGCCGAUCCGGCUGCGUCACGCCGGCCGAACGACACCCCGCUGAGUCGCCGCCGCAGGGAAGGUACCUUCGGCCCCAACGGGAAAAGCCAAUUUCCAGUAAUUCGCGCCCGACCACCGGGGAGUGAAUGUUUCCCUCUGAGGAUGAAGAUCACUAUAAACAACUCUGAUGAGAUCAUGCUGACACAAUGCCCCUUCUGUCAAAGCCAUGGAUCCAAUUGUUGAAGGCUACAAAAAUAAGGACGUGACUUGACUCUCCUGCCUCUCUGCUUAUGUUCAAUUGAUAGCUGCUUCCAGAAACCUCACCGGCUCCUCAUCUCAACAGGCCAAAACUAUACCUCUUCAUAAGACCCAGCUUAGAUGGCAUCACCUCAAUAAAGCCUGCCAUGAUAACUUCAGCUAACAUCUGAGUUUCUCUCUAAAAUCCUCUUAUUAUACAAACCACAUUAUUAGUUAUCUAUAAACAUGUCUUUUCGAACACAGCAGGAGUUUCCUAAAAGCAGGUGCCACACAUGUAAUUCUCCAUAUUUUCAGUGUCCAACUCAAUGGCAUACAUCCAAAAACAUUCAUAAAUAUUGGUCAAAUAAAACAAUUUGAAGAUAUAAAUAAAAUAUUAAUAAUACAAUCAAUUAUAGUAGUUUUACAUACUUUAUAAAAUACAUUAUCAAAAAAAUGCAUUAUCAAUAUCUACCCCUGUACUCAACCUAAUUAGUUCAAACAAGUUACACUUAUAGACAUUUGAAUUGUUUUUUCUUUUUUUGAGACAGGGUCUUGCUCUCUUGCCCAGGCUUGAGCACAGUGGCACAAUCAUGGCUCACUGCAUCCUCGAUGUCCUCGGCUCCAGAGAUCUUCCCAUCUCAGUAUCCUCAGUAGCUGGGACUACAGGCAUAUGCCACCAUGCCCAGCUAAUUUUUUAUAGAGACGAGGUUUGGCCAAGCUGCCCAGGCUGGUCUCAAACUCCUGGGCUCAAGUGAUCCUCCCACCUUGGCCUCCUAAAGUGCUGGAAUUACAGGCAUGAGUCACUACAUCCGGCCUCAAUUUAUUUAUUAUUUUUAAUUUUUUUUUUUUUUUGAGACGGAGUCUCACUCUUUCACCCAGGCUGGAGUGCAGUGGUACAAUCUUGGCUCACUGCAACCUCUAACUCCUCAGUUCCAGCAAUUCUCCUGCCUCAGCCUCCCAGGUAGCUGGGAUUACAGGAACACACCACCAUGCUCAGCUAAUUUCUGUAUUUUUAGUAGAGACGGAGUCUCACCAUGUUGGCCAGGCUGGUCUCGAACUCCUGACCUCAAGUGAUAUGCCUGCCUU
rnacentral:lncRNA from 1 species